AACGAACGCUGGCGGCAGGCUUAACACAUGCAAGUCGAGCGCAUCCUUCGGGGUGAGCGGCGGACGGGUGAGUAACGCGUGGGAACGUGCCCUCUUCUACGGAAUAGCCCAGGGAAACUUGGAUUAAUGCCGUAUACGCCCUUCGGGGGAAAGAUUUAUCGGAGGAGGAUCGGCCCGCGUUGGAUUAGGUAGUUGGUGAGGUAACGGCUCACCAAGCCGACGAUCCAUAGCUGGUUUGAGAGGAUGAUCAGCCACACUGGGACUGAGACACGGCCCAGACUCCUACGGGAGGCAGCAGUGGGGAAUCUUGGACAAUGGGGGAAACCCUGAUCCAGCCAUGCCGCGUGAUCGAUGAAGGCCUUAGGGUUGUAAAGAUCUUUCAGCUGGGAAGAUAAUGACUGUACCAGCAGAAGAAGCCCCGGCUAACUCCGUGCCAGCAGCCGCCGUAA
rnacentral:rRNA from 1 species